rnacentral:misc_RNA from 1 species
UGUCCACCAAAAAACUCAUUUAAAUAUUUGACAACUUAGGCAGGCUUGGUUUCACCAAAAUAAGCUCAAGAAGUCAGAUUGGCUGAGACACAACUGCAACUAUCAUGUUUUGUUCGGCAAAAAUCCCUUUGACCGCUCUACUUUCUAAUUUCUAAUUAGCUUACUAGAAGGAGAAGGUAGGAGUAACUUCAUCUUCCAAAGUGGAAAUGAAAUAAAAUUAUCUAAAAUAAUAUUCAAUUAUUUUCCUAAUAUAAUUUAUGUCGGAAUUUCAGAAAGCAAAGGUGUUAUUGUAUUUUUCAUAGCUACCUUCCAAAAAGUUGGUGAAUGAACGAAGAUGAUAUUAAUGCACUUCACAAGGAAAAGAAUGCAUUAAUGAAAUACCAAAAGGGCAAUAUCUUAGUAAAUAAUACGUGAACAAAUUUUCCUAGA